rnacentral:misc_RNA from 1 species
GUUGAAAUUGUGAGUGUCUCAGGAAAAGGAUAAGAUUUCGAAAUUUCUCACUGUUUUUCCAACUGGGUCAAAGCAGAAAUUCCUUUUUCCCUCUCAGAUCUGGUCCGUAGAUCAGUUGUAUAACUGCAUUCCAAAACAAUGGCUCUAGCAUCUGUUGAAGGAAGUUCAAAGCUAAACCCGAACGCCCCGCUUUUCAUCCCUGCCGCUUACCAGGUGGAGGAUUUCUCCCCACAAUGGUGGCAACUGGUCACAACCUCGACAUGGUACCGGACACUGGCUCUAGCAUCUGUUGAAGGAAGUUCAAAGCUAAACCCGAACGCCCCGCUUUUCAUCCCUGCCGCUUACCAGGUGGAGGAUUUCUCCCCACAAUGGUGGCAACUGGUCACAACCUCGACAUGGUACCGGACAC